rnacentral:lncRNA from 1 species
CCUUAUGUACUGCAUAAGAUGAGCUUGCAAACACAUUCUAAAUGACAUUUCUGAGCUUUUCCAAUUGGCCAAAUGUUAAAAAAAAUGCUUAUAUCAAAAAGUCAACUCUUGGUCAAACUUGCAUUUAAUGAGAAAAGUCAAAAUAUGCCAUUUUGAUUGGUGAAGUUUUGGCUCAUGAUUUUAUAUUUUUGGAAAGAGGGGAUCAAAUGUGA